rnacentral:pre_miRNA from 2 species
UCUUACGAAUGAGCAAAGAAAGUGUUUUGUUGAGAUGAAAUCUACUUCUGAUGAAGAUGCUGUGAA